CAUAAUCACUUGUUCUUUAAAUAGGGACUCGUAUGAAUGGCAUCACGAGGGUUUAACUGUCUCUUACUUUCAACCAGUGAAAUUGACCUGUCCGUGAAGAGACGGACAUGAAACAAUAAGACGAGAAGACCCUGUGGAGCUUCAAUUUAUUAGUACAACUAAAAACAACACAAACCAACAGGCCCUAAACCCCUACAUCUGUGCUAAAAAUUUUGGUUGGGGCGACCUCGGAGCACAACCAAACCUCCGAAUAAUCCACGCUAAGACUACACAAGUCAAAGCAAACUAACACCUACAAUUGACCCAAUAAUUUGAUCAACGGAACAAGUUACCCCAGGGAUAACAGCGCAAUUCUAUUCUAGAGUCCAUAUCAACAAUAGAGUUUACGACCUCGAUGUUGGAUCAGGAUAUCCUAAUGGUGCAGCAGCUAUCAAG
rnacentral:rRNA from 1 species